rnacentral:rRNA from 1 species
ACUGCUCAGUAACACGUGGACAACCUGCCCUUAGGUUGGGUAUAAACCCGGGAAACUGGGUAUAAUACCCGAUAGGUCUCGAUUGCUGGAAUGCAUCGAGAUUUAAAGCUCCGGCGCCUAAGGAUGGGUCUGCGGCCUAUCAGGUAGUAGUGGGUGUAGCGUACCUACUAGCCUACGACGGGUACGGGUUGUGAGAGCAAGAGCCCGGAGAUGGAUUCUGAGACACGAAUCCAGGCCCUACGGGGUGCAGCAGGCGCGAAAACUUUACAAUGCUGGCAACAGCGAUAAGGGAACCUCGAGUGCCAGGUUACAAAUCUGGCUGUCGAGAUGCCUAAAAAGCAUUUCAUAGCAAGGGCCGGGCAAGACCGGUGCCAGCCGCCGCGGUAACACCGGCGGCUCGAGUGGUAACCGUUAUUAUUGGGUCUAAAGGGUCUGUAGCCGGCCGGAUAAGUCUCUUGAGAAAUCUGGCAGCUUAACUGUCAGGCUUUCAGGAGAUACUGUCUGGCUCGAGGCCGGGAGAGGUGAGAGGUACUUCAGGGGUAGGGGUGAAAUCUUGUAAUCCUUGAAGGACCACCAGUGGCGAAGGCGUCUCACCAGAACGGACCUGGCGGCAAGGGACGAAAGCUAGGGGCACGAACCGGAUUAGAUACCCGGGUAGUCCUAGCCGUAAACGAUACUCGCUAGGUGUCGGCCACGGUGCGACCGUUGUCGGUGCCGUAGGGAAGCCGUGAAGCGAGCCACCUGGGAAGUACGGCCGCAAGGCUGAAACUUAAAGGAAUUGGCGGGGGAGCACCACAACGGGUGGAGCUUGCGGUUUAAUUGGAUUCAACGCCGGA